GAGCUUGCUCAGAUAUGACGAUGGACAUUGCAAAGAGUGGCGAACGGGUGAGUAACACGUGGGAAACCUACCUCUUAGCAGGGGAUAACAUUUGGAAACAGAUGCUAAUACCGUAUAACAAUAGCAACCGCAUGGUUGCUACUUAAAAGAUGGUUCUGCUAUCACUAAAAGAUGGUCCCGCGGUGCAUUAGUUAGUUGGUGAGGUAAUGGCUCACCAAGACGAUGAUGCAUAGCCGAGUUGAGAGACUGAUCGGCCACAAUGGGACUGAGACACGGCCCAUACUCCUACGGGAGGCAGCAGUAGGGAAUCUUCCACAAUGGGCGAAAGCCUGAUGGAGCAACGCCGCGUGUGUGAUGAAGGGUUUCGGCUCGUAAAACACUGUUGUAAGAGAAGAAUGACAUUGAGAGUAACUGUUCAAUGUGUGACGGUAUCUUACCAGAAAGGAACGGCUAAAUACGUGCCAGCAGCCGCGGUAAUACGUAUGUUCCAAGCGUUAUCCGGAUUUAUUGGGCGUAAAGCGAGCGCAGACGGUUAUUUAAGUCUGAAGUGAAAGCCCUCAGCUCAACUGAGGAAUUGCUUUGGAAACUGGAUGACUUGAGUGCAGUA
rnacentral:rRNA from 1 species